GCUCCUGUGGUGGAAUAGGUAGACACAUCAGACUUAAAAUCUGCUGAGGAAACUCAUACGGGUUCGAGUCCCGUCAGGAGCACCA
rnacentral:tRNA from 1 species